rnacentral:tRNA from 1 species
CUUUUAAAGGAUAGUAGUUAUCCAUUGGUCUUAGGAACCAAAAACGU